GAGAUUUCCCCCGGUUC
rnacentral:tRNA from 1 species